UAUACAGUCAUGCUAAAACCCUUAUUAUAAAACUAGGGGAAAUGCAGGGAAAAAGAAGGAAAUGUAUCUCUCUGAGAAUCCUUUCUUUAGGCAGUUGUCUUGUUGGUUGCACCAAUGCUGGUUUUCUUCUGCCACCAGCAUUCCUAGGGUCCAGGAUUGAGGAAUUCCUCACAUACUCUUUUUUACUUCGGAUUCCUCUAGAUUCUUGGAUUCUCCCAGGGGACCCUGCACCCACAUUCCAAUUCCAGGAAGUUUGGGAAAUUGUAAAAUGAAAUUAUUAUGACCCAAAGAGAAAUGAUCUCAAUGAGGAGGGGAAAAAAAGGAAUUAUCUAAAGAUACCAAUGCAGAUGCACAUAGAGAGAAUUCACUAACCAACUUGGAUUUUAAAAGAUUUGUUCAGAAGAUGAAAGCAAGAGAAGGUAAUAGAAGAUGAAUAAAAAAGAAUGAUCCUGCAGGAGAAGUGUUGGGUAUGCUGAAAAGUUCAGAAUUUUCUGAGACUGAUCGCUCACCUGGUCUCCUCCCUGCCCACCCCGGCUGCCUGCUCCUGCUCCUGGCCUCUCUCUUGCUCACCUGGCCCAGCUGAUCCCGGCCCAGCAACCCUGACCUCAGAGCAGACCGCUUAUCACCCCAGGCCCAAGACUCACUUCUACCAGCUGGUAACAAAAACAAAAACAAAAACAAAAAAAACGGGGGUGGAUCACAGAAGAGGGAAAAAAGGGAAAGAGGAAGGAGAUUUUUCCAAACUGGAACUUAUAACCAUGACUGAUUUAAAAGGAUAUCUUUUAACUAUAUUGAUAAUUUCAUCUACCUCACAUGUGAUUCAGGGGAAAAAUUCAGUUCCCUGCAAUUUUGGGGAGGCAGCUGGGUGGUUCAAUGGACUGAGAGCCAGGCAUAGAGACGGGAGGUCCUUGGUUGAAAUCUGGCCUCAGAGACUUCCUAGCGGUGUGGCCCUAGACGGGUCAUUUAACCUCCAUUGCCUAACCAUUACCAAUCUCCUGCCUUCUGACAAUAGGCAUCUAAAUAGAUAAAAACCCAAGGAACUUCAAAGAGACUGGAGAUUAUAUUUUUAAAGC
rnacentral:lncRNA from 1 species